GCGUUUUUAAACCGAAAACAUCUCAUAUCCUAUAAAUAGGAGAGGGUUGAGAGUGGAAUCAAGCAUCACCAACACGCUUUCUCAGCUUAUUUUGUCUCGAAACCCUAGAAUCCUCCUAAGAAAAUGACUUCAUGUUGCCCAAUUAACAAAGAAAAACGGAGAAUCAAGAAAAAACAUAGAAAAAUGGAGAAUUUCACUUGAUCAGUGAUGGCCUGUUAUUUGACACUUAGGUAAAGGUGGAAUAAUCUAUGUAUUCACAGUUUUUUUUACUUGCUGAUAUAAAUUAACACAUGUGCUACUGUUUCUUAGAGUGGCAGCAUCAACCAAGCUCCAGUCGUGAAUAUGGAAGAUGGACAAGCAACAGAAUCUGCCACCAACAUGGGUGAUGCGCAAAAGAUUUCACUGGGAGUUGGUGAAGCCAAGUCUGCCAGGUCCUGCAGCCGACGAGAACAAACGCAAACGCCCCUGUGUGAGUGAUUUCCGCAAGGCCAUCUAACCGUCAACCCCAUUUA
rnacentral:lncRNA from 1 species